GAUACAAUAUCGACACCGGUAAUUUCCUCAGUAAUCGUAUGUUCAACCUGAAUACGAGGAUUAAUCUCAAUAAAAUAGUGACGUCCUUUUUGAUCGAGCAAGAAUUCUGCAGUACCGGCGUUGCAAUACUUCACUUCCUUGGCAAUCUUGAUGGCAUCGUCAUAAAGUGCUUGACGGAUCUUAGGAUCCAAAUCUUUGGCCGGAGCAAUCUCCACGACCUUUUGAUGACGACGU